rnacentral:rRNA from 1 species
UUUUGUGUCCCGGGUUUCAGACGGGUCGUUUAACAGCCAUUCCACCAGCAUCCUAAGUACGAAAAGCUCGAGAGCCUUGCAAAAAGCGUACUGCGUUCCUCAGUCCCCGAAGAUGAAUCCAGUGGAAAGCUAUAACACAGCCGAAACUGCUACCUUCAAACCACGAUUUUCCACCCCCAAAAACUGAUGCUGGCCUGCAAAUCGAAGAAUACACCUUGCGGCUGAACUCCGAAUAGCAAGUCUGACUUCAAGCGUUUCCCUUCCAACAAUUUCACGUACUGUUAACUCUCUUUCCAAAGUGCUUUUCAUCUUUCCCUCACGGUACUUGUUCGCUAUCGGUCUUGCUCCAAUAUUUAGCUUUAGAUGGAAUUUACCACCCAAUUUGAGCUGCAUUCCCAAACAACUCGACUCUUCGAAAGUAUAUCACAAAGCACCGGGCAUCCGCAUCAGUUACGGGGUUCUCACCACUAUGACGCUGUAUUCCAACAGACUUGUAUGCGGUCCGGCGCGGAAAAUACUUCUCGAGAUUACAACUCGGACACUGAAAGUGCCAGAUUACAAAUUUGAGCUCUUCCCGCUUCACUCGCCGUUACUAGGGGAAUCUACUAUGUUAGUUUCUUUUCCUCCGCUA